rnacentral:rRNA from 1 species
GACGAACGCUGGCGGUGUGCUUAACACAUGCAAGUCGAACGGUAAGGCCCUUCGGGGUACACGAGUGGCGAACGGGUGAGUAACACGUGGGUGAUCUGCCCUGCACUUCGGGAUAAGCCUGGGAAACUGGGUCUAAUACCGGAUAGGACCCUGGAUGCAUGUCCUGGGGUGGAAAGCUUUUGCGGUGUGGGAUGGGCCCGCGGCCUAUCAGCUUGUUGGUGGGGUGAUGGCCUACCAAGGGGACGACGGGUUGCCGGCCUGAGAGGUUGACCGGCCACACUGGGACUGGGAUCCAGCCCAGACUCCGACGGGAGGCAGCAGUUGGUAAUAUUGAACAAUGGGCGCAAGCCUGAUGCAGCGACGCCGCGUGAGGGAUGACGGCCUUCGGGUUGUAAACCUCUUUCAGCACCUACGAAGCGCAAGUGACGGUAGGUGCAGAAGAAGGACCGGCCAACUACGUGCCAGCCGCCGCAGUAA